CAAAAACUUCUAUCAUUGUUUUGGAAUCCAGUUCCACUAUUCCCCUUCUAAAUCCUAACUCACAACGUUUUGAGACCAUAAUAAACUUCUCAUAGUUCCGCUUGAUAAGCACUACAUGUCCAUAAAUUUUUCAUGAAACCUGCUAUACAUAAUUCAUUCUCAUCUCUCACAACUCCAUCGCAUUCAGCUGGUCCAAGAUUACCCGCUGACGUCUCAUUUGAAUUCAUUUUACCAUUCUUGUGGAGGCCUAUUCCAUUUUAUGUUCACUUGAAAUAUGGUUAUGACUAUGUUUAAAAGGCUUUUUUUUUUGAAAGUUGUGUAAAUCUCCUCAACAUGGUUAGCUGUGAGCUAAUGUAGACUUGGGUGGUCUACUCAUUGUUGGAGUGAAUACUUCUGUAUUUUUCAUUUUCACAUCAACUAAUAUCCAAUCAUAAAGCUAUCCAUCCAAAGGUCAUUUGGUUUGUUGCUCAGUUCUAAGGUGAGGUUUCAUCUUAGUCAAGUGUUGAAGGGAGCUCUGAAGAAGUUAGAGAUGGAUUAAUCUUGUCCAGAUCUGCGAUGCUACUAGGCAACCACGAAGCGUAUGUAUAAAGGUUUCUUCUGUUCCAACAUAUCUAUAACAACUAGACCGGUCCAACCGUGAACUAGCAACAACAACGGUUCGGUUAACCAUUUGAAACUACUGAGCAAAAAAUCAGUGGCGAACCACUGAACCAGCUAGUUGGACCGGACCGAGAAUCAGACAGUUUGAAGGAAGCGAUGCCGUUUUGAAUCGCUGAAUGUCUGAAAUGAAUCAAAUCUCUCAAGCAUGCCUCUCACUCAAGCAGAAAAGACUUUCUUCUCCAAUCCUAGCAUCUCUUUGAUCUACUACUAUUGUCCGUCCGUGGAGCCACUGCUCUUUUUCGUCCGUCGAGCUACUAUCAACGUUCGUCCAUCAAGCCACUGCCCCCAAGUCUCUGACCCCUGCUUUCUUCUUUUGUGAGCUCAUCCCAUCCAUUGUCUUCAGUUGUUUGCCAUCGUUUGGUCGACAUCGUCUGUUGCGGUAAUUGGUCUUUGAAUCACCAAUUUGUUGGCGUUGUCUUCAGAGGUGUCCGUUACGGUGCCACGCUGGAAGGGGAAUAAAGUUCGAAGGACAAAUAAGUCCUUGACGUCAUUUUGCAAAUAAAGUUCAAAGGACAUAUAGGUCCUUGAGAAUGUAGUUCAUUAUACUUCUAUUAUGCUUUUAUUAUGAGAAUUUAGUUUAUAAAAUUAUGCUUGUAUUUUGAAAU